GAGCUAUUGAUCACUUCAAGGGGUAAGGGAAUAAGACUGGGACUUCUGAAUCUACCCAGGAAGAAAGACCCCUAUAAACACUAUAGAUUUUUAGUUGGAACACCUAAGAAGGGUAAACUAAAAAGAGACCAGCUCUAAAAAGACCAGAGUCCAGCAAUGAAUCAUCUCAAUCUCUGACAAAAAUUAGGUGAUCUACCCCCAGCCCAGCUGUCUGCCAAAAUCAAAAUUAAAUCUCCUCUGGGGGAAAAAAUAUCAUGCAGUGCCUCAAAUUGUCACUAAAAAUUUUAAGCAUAUUGCCCAGCAUUCAUUCAACAAUAACCAGAGCAUCAGAGAAAUCUGGCAAAUUCUGCUUUAACCACAUGAUCUAAAUAAACAUCACUAAAAGUGGGCCCGUCUGAAAUCUUGUGCCUCCUUAGGGAUGCCCCAAAAGACACAGCAUCAGUUGGUUACACAGUAUUUCUGCCGAAUAAGUGUAAACUUACUCUCAUUCAACAAACCCAAACUGAAAAACCUAUGAAACAACUGACACAGAGUCGUCAAAAUUAUCAAUGUUAGAAAACAAAGACUGAAUGAGAGAAUGUUUCCAAUUAAUGAAAACUGAAAGAGACGUGAAAACUAAAUACAAGAUGUGACCCUGGGUAGAUAUAAGGAAAAAAAUAAAAGAUUGCGGCAAAGGACAUCAAUUGGAAAAGUUAAAUAUAUAUAAUGUAUUUUAGACGAAAGUAUAUCAGCAUUAAAUUUCUUUUUUAUUGAGAUAUAGUAGACAACAUUUGUUAGUUUCAUGUGUACAACAUAAUCAAUAUUUGUAUGCAUAGGAAAUGAUCACUACAAUACUAGUUCAUGUGCAACCAUAUAUAGAGAAUUUUUUUCUUGGAGUGACAACUUUUAGGAUCUACUGAGCAACCUUCAAGUAUGCAAUACAGUGUUAACUGCCAUCUCCAUGUUGUUCAUUUUAUCCCCAUGAAUUACUUAGUUUCUAACUAGAAGUCUAUAACUUUUGAUGCCCUUCACCCAUUUUGCCCCAACAUCCUUCUCCCACCUGCCUCUGGCAACCAGCAGUCUGUUCUCUGAUCUAUGAGCUUGGUUUUUGUUUUUGUUUUGGAUACCACAUCUGAGAGAGAGAAUACGGUGUCUGUCUUUCUCUCUCUGACUAAUUUCACGUAGAAUAAUGCCCUCAAAGUCCAUCCAUGUUGUUGCAAAUGGCAAGAUUGUAUUCUUGUUUAUGGCUUGACAUUUUAGUGUGUGUGUGUGUCAUUUUCUUUAUCCAUUCAUCCAUUAAUGGAUGUUUAGAUUGUUGCAUACUUUGUCUAUUGUAAUAAUGCCUCAAGAAACAUGUCUUUUCAAGUUAGUGUUUUUGUUUUCUUCAGGCCAGCACCCGGAAGUGGAAUUGUUGGUUCAUAUGGUAGUUCUUUUUUUAAAUUUUUUGAGGAAUGCCUGUACUGUUUUCUGUAGUGGCUGAACCAACUUAUAUUCUCACCAACAGUGCACAAGAGUUCGCUUUUCUCCACAUUCUCACCAACACUUGCUAUUUCUUGUCUUUUUAAAAUAAUAUUCUACCUAAGCGGUGUGAGGUGCUAUCUCAUUGUGGUUUUGAUUUGCAUUUCCGUGAUGAUUAAUGAUGUUGACUGCAUUUUCAUGUACCUGUUGGUCAGAUGUAUAUCUUUGAUCAAAAAAUGUCUAUUCAGAUCUUCUGCCCACUUCAUCAGAUUUCUGGCUGUUCUGCUACUGAGUUUUAUGAGUUCUUUUUCUAUUUUGGGCAUGAAAACCUUAUCAGUUAUAUCAUUUGCAAAUAUUUUCUCCCAUUCAGUAGGUUGCCUUUUCAUUUCCUUGAUGGUUUCCUUUGUUGUGCAGAAGCUUUUUAGUUUCAUGUAGUCCCACUUGUUGAUUUUUGCUUUUGUUGCCUAUGCUCUUAGCAUCAAAUCCAAAAAAUCAUAACCAAGACCAAUGUCAAUGAAGGAGUUUACUGUCUUUUUUGUCCAAGAAUUUUACAGUUUUAGAGCUUACAUUCAAGUGUUUAAUCCAUUUCAACUUAAAUUUUGUGGAUGGUGUAAGAUAUCUAGUGGUCCAUUUAUUGAAGACAGUCUUUUCUCCAUAGUACAUUCUUGGCUGAUUUUUUUCAUAAGUUAAUUGACCAUGUGUGCAUGGGCUUAUUUCUGGGUUCCCUAUUCUGUUUCAUUGAUCUCUGUGUCUGUUUUUAUGCCAAUACUAUACUGUUUUGUAAUAUAGUUUGAAGUCAGGAGUACGAUGCCUCCAGCUUUAUUCUUCUUUCUCAGGACUGCUUUGGCUAUUCAGGGUCUUUUGUGGUUCCACACAAACUUUAGGAUAGUUUGUUCUACUUCUGUGAAAAGUGCCACUGGAAUUUUGAUAGAGAUUACACUGAAUCUGUAGAUUGCUUUGGGUAAGUAGUAUGGGCAUUUAAACACUAUUAAUCCUUCCAAUUAAUGAACACAGUAUAUCUUUCCAUUUAUUUGUGUUCAAUUUCUUGCAUCAAUCUCAUUUAAUUUUCAUUUUACAGGUCUUCUCUUUCACCUUCUUUGUUGAAAUUAUUCCUCAGUUUUUAUUCUUUUUGAUACAUUUGUAAAUGGGAUUGUUCCCUUAAUUUCUCUUUCUGAUAGUUUGUGAUUAACAUAUAGAAAUGCAACAGAUUUCUGUAUGUUGAUUUUAUGUCCUGCAACUUUACUGAAUUCAUUUUUUUUUUUUUUUUGUCUUUUUGCCAUUUCUUGGGCCGCUCCCGCGGCAUAUGGAGGUUCCCAGGCUAGGGGUCUAAUCAGAGCUGUAGCCGCCGGUCUACACCUGAGCCACAGCAACGCGGGAUCCGAGCCGCGUCUGCAAACUACACCACAGCUCACGGCAACGCCAGAUCGUUAACCCACUGAGCAAGGGCAGGGAUCGAAUCCGCAACCUCAUGGUUCCUAGUCGGAUUCGUUAACCACUGCGCCACGACGGGAACUCCUGAAUUCAUUUAUUCUAACAGUUUUUGUGUGGCAUCUUUAAGGUUUUUAAUAUAUAAUAUCACAUCAUCUAUAAAUAGUGACCGUUUUACUUCUUCAUGUCCAGUUUGGAUGCCUUUUCUUUCUUUUUCUUGCUUAAUUGCUGCGGCUAGGACAUCCACUACCAUACUAAGUAAAAGAGGCAAGAGUGGACAUCCUUGUCUGGAGCUUGAUCUGAGGGGGGAGAUUUUAGUAUCUCACCAUUGAGUAUGAUGUUGGCCAUGGGCUAGUAUGUAUGGCCCUUAUUAUGUUGAGACAUGUUCCCUCUAUACCCACUUUGUUGAGAGUUUUUAUCAAAAUGGAUAUUAAAUUGUAUUCAAUUUCUUGAACUUGAUAACUGCAUUAUAGUUAUAUAGGAAGCUGUCUUUGUUUGUAAGAAAUAUGCUGAAGUAUUUAGGGGUAAAAUUCCUGCAAGAUUUCAAGGCAGAAGAGAGUAAGAACAGUUGGUCAAGUUGAGAGUUUGUAUCCAUGUGCCCCUCUUCCUGCCACAUGAUCCUAUUUGGGGGCUUAACCAGGAAGCAGAGAUGGGGCAGCCUCAACAACCAGGUUAUCACUCUGAUCAUGUGCUCUGUCCCCCAUAACCCCUUACUGACUGGUCCAUAAGCAGACAAGUGACCCAAGGUAAACAUGUCACAUUCUCUCAUACUGAAAGCUGGAGAGACAGAAAGAAACAGAGAGUGGCAAUUUCUAGUACAAGUCUUUUUAAAGACUCCGCCCUUUUCAAAGUACAGUUGUUGACAUUCCCUUCAAUCUCCUGGCUUCCUCCCAAUAAAUUCCCUUUUCAUUGAAAAUAAUUACAGAGUUUGUUUCUUAUACUUGAAACCCAAACAACCUUUGACAAUUACAAGCAGAUGUUUCCAAAGGAGCUAAAAUGUCAUAAAGUGCAAUGAAUGCAGAAGUUGCUGGGGAUGAGUGACAUCAUGAUUGGUUGUAAUAAGAGUCUGGAGUCAGCUAGUGACUCUACUCCCUGCCCUUGUCUUCUCAUAGAGAAAUUCUCUACUAAUUCCCUUUGGAGAAUGAGAGUCCUCCGGACCUAGCUCAAAUGAGAACAUUAUACUGAUCAUACUUUUCUUGUUUGUGUGUUAACGCAGUUUGAUUAUAUUUUUAAAGAAAUCGUUUCUUAGUAAUUAUAGUCUGGCUUCUGUGGUUCACAUAAAUAACAAGAAGAUAUGACCCUUGCUACAUUGUCCAACUGUUCAUAAAAUCAUAAUGUUAUGUGCCGCUCUCCAUUUCUGACAAAAGGAAGAGUUUCCACACUAUUAAAAUGCCUGGUUUCAUUUAUUGGAUAAAAAGCAUGGAUUAGGGAGUUCCUAUUGUGGUACAGUGGGUUAAAAGAUCUGGUGUUCAGCUGUGGCAUAGGUCAUAGGUCACAGCUCUGGCUUGAAUUCAGUCCCUGACCCAGGCACUUCCAUAUGCCACAGAUCCAGCCACUAAAAAAAAAAGGAGUUCCCAUCAUGGCUCAGUAGUUAACGAAUCCGACCAGGAACCAUGAGGUUGCAGGUUCGAUCCGUGGCCUUGCUCAGUGGGUUAAGGAUCCGGCAUUGCCGUGAGCUGUGGUAUAGGUCACAGAUGUGGCUCGGAUCCCGCGUUGCUAUGGCUGUGGUGUGGGCCAGCAGCUACAGCUCUGAUUCAACCCCUAGCCUGGGAACCUCCAUAUGCCGCGAGUGCAGCCCUAGAAAAGGC
rnacentral:lncRNA from 1 species